rnacentral:rRNA from 1 species
AACGAACGCUGGCGGCAUGCCUAACACAUGCAAGUCGAACGAGACCUUCGGGUCUAGUGGCGCACGGGUGCGUAACGCGUGGGAACCUGCCCUUAGGUUCGGAAUAACUCCCCGAAAGGGGUGCUAAUACCGGUUAAUGUCUUCGGACCAAAGAUUUAUCGCCUUUGGAUGGGCCCGCGUUGGAUUAGCUGGUUGGUAGGGUAAAAGCCUACCAAGGCGACGAUCCAUAGCUGGUCUGGGAGGAGGAUCAGCCACACUGGGACUGAGACACGGCCCAGACUCCUACGGGAGGCAGCAGUGGGGAAUAUUGGACAAUGGGCGAAAGCCUGAUCCAGCAAUGCCGCGUGAGUGAUGAAGGCCUUAGGGUUGUAAAGCUCUUUUACCCGGGAUGAUAAUGACAGUACCGGGAGAAUAAGCGCCGGCUAACUCCGUG